AUAUCUCUGAUCUAAUCGAUCAUGAGAAAAGGUUAGAUCGGCUAUUGACACCAGAAGUGCUUAUCUUUCAGGUCCCAUAAAUCAGGUAAGUAUCAUUCCUGGGAUUCUGUACUUUUCUUUUGAUAGUGUAACUAAUAGCGACCUUUAGUCAGUGUUGUUUUUCAAAACUUCAGAUGGUAGGGAUAUAGGUCAAGGAAACUGUACAAAGAAUGCCCUUGGGGUUAUGCUUCUACUCUAAUUAUCUAGUUGUCUUGCCUAUUAUAAAUAUUACGAAAUUCUACAAUAUGAAGCUGGAUCUUUUGGAACAGAUUCAUUUCCUUCCAUGUGCUUUCUGAUUGCUUUGAAAUGUUUAUAAAUAGAAAUUUAGGAAGGCUUAAUUUUAUUAAUCACACACACACCUCAAUAUAUAAGAUAACCUGAGACUAAAUAAGGAAAACUAAAUAAUUAGAAUAUGAAAAAAUCAAUAUGGUCAACAUACCUUAUAAAUUCCUAAAUUUGGGAAUCUUCUAAUUUAAUUAGGACGUGAAAUCAUUCUCAAUACUCUAAUUUCACACUCCCCUCAAGCUGAGGCGAAGAUAUCGACGCGCCCCAGCUUGACAACAGACGAUGCAGCAAUAAGGGGCCGAUAUACCUGUCACCAGAGGCGCUCUAACCAAUGUGAAAAAAUUCAACACGCAUCCCGCACGGGUGGCAACACGCCCAACCGCAAUUACGGAUAUACGGGAAACGUGAGAACAGACAUGGCAGUUGCUGCGACUUUCUGGGACAUGAAGGCUGUGGGGCUGCGCGCGGGUGACUUUCUACGCAAGGGAAAAUGCUAGUUUAAAGGCCUCUCGACAAUAUUUCGGCGACAGCAGAGCUCCGCCCGCGCGGAGGCUAACCAGGUAAUGUAGCUCUGAUACCAAAUAGAAUUUAGAAGGCUUUAAUUUUAUUAAUCACACACAUCACUAAAAUAUAUAAAUAACCUAAAAGACUAAAUAAUGAAAACUAAAUAGUAAAUAUGAAAAAUCAUAUGGUCAACAUGACCUAUUAUAAUCCUAAUUUGGGAAAUCUUCCUAUUUUUCGGAAGCUGAAUCAUUCUAAUAUUCUAAUUUCAACACUUCACUCCCCCUCAAGCUAGGGCGAAGAUAUCCGACGAGCUCUCAUCUUGACAACAGACGCUUGCCGCAAUAAGGGGCCAUGGACUGCACAGAGGGGCCACAUCUAACCAAUGUGAAAAAAUUCACACGCGCCCGGCACGUGUGGCACACCCAAACACGCGAAUUACGGAAUAGGGUAAACUGAGAACAACACUGGGAAUGAAGCAAAUCAACACGGCCCCCGCACUGGUGAACGUGAGAACAUAUAAUGUUGCUUGUGCUGCGACUGUCUGGGGCUUAGGCUGUGGCUGCGCGCGGGACUUUCUACGUACAAGAAAAUGCUAGGUAAAGGCUCGGAUAAAUAUUUGACGACAAUCAGAGCCGCCGCCGGCGGCGAAGCGGAGAGCUGAUCAAGAUAUUGUAGCUCUGAUACCAAAUGAAAUUUUAAGAAAGGCUUAUUUUAUUAUCACACACACAACUAACCCUCAAUAUAUAAUAUAACCUAAGACUAAAUAAGGAAAACUAAAUAAGUAAAUAUGCAAAAUAUCAAUAGGCAACAUGACCUAAUUUAAAUUCCUAAUUUGUAAUCUCCUAAUUUAUUAAUUAGGAAGUAUCAUUCUAAAUAUCUAUUUUCACAACACUCCCCCAAGCUAGGCGAAGAUAUCGAUCUCUCCAGCUUGACAACAGACAUUGCAGCAAUAAGGGGCCGAUGGCACUGCCCAGAGGGGCCACCAUCUAACCAAUGUGAAAAAUUCAACACGCUCCCGCACGUGUGCACAACCCCAAACAACGCGAAUUACGGAUAUAGGUACGGUUAGAACAACAUGGCUAUAUGAAAAAAUUCAACCCGCCCCCGCAACGUGAAAACGUGGAGCACAGACAAUGGCUGUGCUGUCGACUGUCUGUGAAUGAGGCUGUGGCUGCGCGCGGGUGACUUUCUAACGUCAAGGGAAACUAGUUAAGCCUCGGACAUAUUUCGGCGACCAGCAGAGCCGCCGCCGCGGUCGGAGGCCUAACCAAGAGUAAAUGUAGCCUGAUACCAAAUAAAUUUAGAAAGGCUAAUUUUAUAAUCACACCACACAUCCCCUUCAAUAUAAAUAUAACCAGACUAAAUAAGGAAAAAUAAAUAAGUAGAAUAAUGAACAAUCAAUAUGGGCAACAUGAACCCUAUUAAAAUUCCCCUAAUUUUGGGGGAAUCUUCCUAUUUUAAUUAUGAAGUGAAUCAUUCUAAAGAUAUUCUAUUUCAUUCAACACUUCCCCCUCAAGCGGCGGGAAGAUAUCUACGAGCUACAGCUUGACACAGACGAUUGCAGCAAUAAGGGGCCGAUGGACUGGCACAUAGGUGCCCCAUCUAACCAAUGUUAAAAAAUUCAACAACGCUCCCGCACGUGUGGCCAUGCCAAACCCGCGAAUUACGGAUA
rnacentral:lncRNA from 1 species